GACGAACGCUGGCGGCGUGCCUAAUACAUGCAAGUCGAGCGGAGAAUGUGGAGCUUGCUCCACAUUCUUAGCGGCGGACGGGUGAGUAACACGUGGGCAACCUGCCCUGCAGAUCGGGAUAACUCCGGGAAACCGGUGCUAAUACCGAAUAGUUUUUUGCCCCUCCUGGGGCGGAACGGAAAGACGGUUUCGGCUGUCACUGCAGGAUGGGCCCGCGGCGCAUUAGCUAGUUGGUGGGGUAAUGGCCCACCAAGGCGACGAUGCGUAGCCGACCUGAGAGGGUGACCGGCCACACUGGGACUGAGACCCGGCCCAGACCCCUACGGGAGGCAGCAGUAGGGAAUCUUCCGCAAUGGACGCAAGUCUGACGGAGCAAUGCCGCGUGAGUGAAGAAGGCCUUCGGGUCGUAAAACUCUGUUAUAAGAGAAGAACAAAUUGUAGAGUAACUGCUACAGUCUUGACGGUAUCUUAUCAGAAAGCCACGGCUAACUACGUGCCAGCCGCCGCGGUAA
rnacentral:rRNA from 1 species